UAACUAUAAUUAUACCAGUUCUUAUAAUAUUAUAUAUUAUAGAAAAUAUACUUUUAACAUAAUAAAUAAUUUUACUUAAUUUUACUCAAUAAAAAAGUUUUGUGCGUGUUGUUUCAAGUGUAUAUGCAUCAGUCUUAUCAGAAUGUUAUAAAUAAAGAAAUGUCAUUUUUUUAUCAGCACUCCAUUAAAACGGUUUAUAUUAUUGUUAUAUUCUAAAAUUAUAGGGAAAAAUUCAUAAAUAAAAUUUUUGAUGAUUUUAAAACGAAUGUUAAUCAUUUUAUUUAAUUGUUUACGCAAUAGUUUUUUGUCACUAUGAAAUUUAAAUAAAUUUUUUUUUUAAAUUUCAAAAAAUGUAUAUCUAAAAAAUAAGGUAAGAUAAUCUUCAUUGCGCCACAAUUUCAUAUGUUUAAACAAUUAAAUAAACAUUUAUAAUCUAAGUUUGUAAAAAUUUGUAAUUUUAAGAACGAAGACAAACAAUAUGUAUAUAAAAACCGUGACCGAGAGCACCAAUUUUUUUUUGUUCUUAUAAUUUUUGUGAUAUAACCGGAUAAUAAGAUAAAAUUUGUUUCUAAACACCAUGGUCAAUUUUAAAUUAAUUGGAUUAUUAAUGAUAUUUAUAAAAAUCAUUAUGUUGAUGAACUUCUCAGAUGCGCAAUGUAUUGUGAAUGGUGGUCUAUGUAGCCCUCAUGAUACAAGAACUUAUUGUUGUGGAAUUUGUCAAUUAGAACCACCAACUUAUACAUAUGGAAUCUGUAUAAACGGAUAAUAUUUAUGUUCAUACUUAUAAUCAUACAAAUAAUAAAAUUAUAUAAAAUAAAA